GGGGCAGAGGCAGAGGGGCAGAGGCAGAGAGACAGAGGGGCAGAGGACAAUGACAGAGUCAGCGGGGCAGGGACAGAGGCAGAGAGACAGAGGGGCAGAGGACAAUGACAGAGGCAGAGGGCCAGAGGCAGGGGGCAGAGACAAAUGCAGAAGGGCAGGGGCAGAGGUGCAGUGGCAUAGUUAGAGACAUAGGCAGACAGGCAGGGGCAGAUUGGCAGAGGCAGAGGGGCAGAGGCAUAUGGGGAAGGGCAGAGGGGCAGAAGCUGAGCUGCAGAGGUCAGAGGCAGAGGGUCAUAUGGGCAGAAAUGGAGGCAGAGGAGCAGAGGCAGGCAUCAGAGGCAGAGGGGCAGAAGACAGAGACAGAGGCAGAGGGGCAGAGGCAGUUG
rnacentral:lncRNA from 1 species